rnacentral:sRNA from 1 species
CUGACAAAUUUGAAGACUGAAGUCCUCUGUUUCUCCACAGAACUGAUACAGCAUAGACUGUGGUAUAGCGUUUUCUCCACACCCUGUAGCAUGACUGGAUUUGUCCUACAACGGUCACUAUAGUAGCAUUUCAGGUUAUACAAUUCAGAUCAGAUCCUCA